AAAAAAAUAAAAGUGUACGGGAGUGAGAGUUUUGUGUGGGUGAAAUGGCAAACACGAGGCAGCUCUUACCCGCUUCUUCUUCUUCUUAUGUGACGGUGGUUCACAACCACCGACGCUUCUUCCUGUCUAAUGGCACUAGAAUCCGGUGCAGCCGAGGAGGAAAAGGGCCUGAAAACUUACUGCUGAAAACGGCGUGGUAUGGCUCCGAGCUUCUUGGAAUCGCUGCCUCCUUCUUCCGUCCAUCUCCACCUCCGGUGGUUGAAGGAAGAAGCAGGGAAGACGUGGUAAUCGAGCGCGCGGUUUUAGUCGAAACCAUCAAAGGGGAUUAUCAGAGGUCUUAUUUUGUUACAGGUGCUCUUACACUUGAUGCAUACGAAGACGACUGCGAGUUUGCUGAUCCUGCAGGUUCUUUUAAAGGCCUGCUUCGAUUCAAAAGAAACUGUACUAAUUUUGGCUCCCUUAUUCACAAAUCAAACAUGAACCUCAUCAAAUGGGAGGACUUUCAGGAUAAAGGAAUCGCCCAUUGGCGUUUUUCUUGCACUAUGGCAUUUCCAUGGAGACCCAUUCUUUCAGCUACAGGUUACACAGAGUAUUAUCUUAGCAAAGAAUCAGGAAGAGUAUGCAGGUAAGGUGGCUAUACAUAGUGGCGGACAUACCUUGUAUUAAGGGGUAGCCGCCGCUACCCCUUGAUGAUCCGACGGCAUGUAGAGCACUGGAAUGUCCCAAAGAUGGCUUUAUUCAAACAACUCCUCAAGCCUAGUAGACAGGGUAAUUGAAGAAAACCAAAUGUAAUAUAUUCACAUAAUUAAUAACAUACUUACUAUUGUUAUAACGUAUAAAUAUAUUUUAUGAUAUGACUAUCCACAUGCCUAACUCCCAUUGGCAUUUAAGUUGUAUUGAAUGAAUGAUAGCCCUAUAAAUAGUGGCUUUUGUUUUUCAUACAUACAUGAAUAAGAAUGAGUUAUCCUAUUC